rnacentral:rRNA from 1 species
AACGAACGCUGGCGGCAUGCCUAACACAUGCAAGUCGAACGAAGGCUUCGGCCUUAGUGGCGCACGGGUGCGUAACGCGUGGGAAUCUGCCCUUAGGUUCGGAAUAACAGCUGGAAACGGCUGCUAAUACCGGAUGAUAUCGCGAGAUCAAAGAUUUAUCGCCUGAGGAUGAGCUCGCGUUGGAUUAGGUAGUUGGUGGGGUAAAGGCCUACCAAGGCGACGAUCCAUAGCUGGUCUGAGAGGAUGAUCAGCCACACUGGGACUGAGACACGGCCCAGACGCCUACGGGAGGCAGCAGUGGGGAAUAUUGGACAAUGGGCGAAAGCCUGAUCCAGCAAUGCCGCGUGAGUGAUGAAGGCCCUAGGGUUGAAAAGCUCUUUUACCCGGGAAGAUAAUGACUGUACCGGGAGAAUAAGCCCCGGCUAACUCCGUGCCAGCCGCCGCAGUAA